UUUUCCCCGUGGUCAUAAGUCUUCCUAGCAGUGUUUCCAGUGUUUUCCUCGUAGCUUCUUGCUUCCCCUUUUGGAUUUGCAUCUACUAAAGCAAGCUGUUGUUUUCAGAAAUAGCAGCUAAAUUCUAGAAACUGGCCUGUCCAAUUUUUAUCUGCAGACAAAGUGAGCAGCAAGCUGGUGAACAGAGUGGAGCACUUUACCGCAGUAAAAAGGCCAGAUUUCCUUAGGAGUUCAUAACCAAAAUCCGAGCUAAAGCAAAGAGGAUGUUUGGCUUCAAUAUGACGGGUGUGUACCAAUCACUGACAAUGACCUCAGAGCUUCUCAGAAGGGAUCAGGCCACCUGGGCAUACCCCACCAUGUACAAAUAACUCGGGGUUUAGAAGAGAAUGUUAUUUUUAUCUAGGUUUUUCUCAGGCAGAGCCCAGGAGAGUGUUUGUUGCAGAGGGAAGUGAUGUAUUAUGUUUGCACUUUCUUUUAUUUAUUUAUUUUUGAAAAGCAGCUCUCAGACAGCCCUGGUAUUGAGGUCUUUAGGAGAGUGGGACGGCAGCCAACAGACUCCUAGAUUGCCUAUGAAAAGUCUCAUGCAACAUGUAGUAUUUUCAUGUCAACUUAUUUCAAGUUGUUGCCAUCAGCUGUUAUAUUCAAAUGAACGCCAACUU